GACGAACGCUGGCGGCGUGCUUAACACAUGCAAGUCGAACGAGAGCGUAGAGAAAGCUUGCUUUUUCUACAAUCUAGUGGCAAACGGGUGAGUAACGCGUAAACAACCUGCCCUACGGAUGGGGACAACAGCUGGAAACGGCUGCUAAUACCGAAUACGUUCCGAAAGUCGCAUGACUAUCGGAAGAAAGGAUGGCCUCUAUUUAUAAGCUAUCGCCGGAGGAGGGGUUUGCGUCUGAUUAGCUAGUUGGAGGGGUAACGGCCCACCAAGGCGACGAUCAGUAGCCGGUCUGAGAGGAUGAACGGCCACAUUGGAACUGAGACACGGUCCAGACUCCUACGGGAGGCAGCAGUGGGGAAUCUUCCGCAAUGGGCGAAAGCCUGACGGAGCAACGCCGCGUGAGUGAAGACGGCCUUCGGGUUGUAAAGCUCUGUUAUACGGGACGAAUAAUCUUGUGGUUAAUACCCAUGAGAAGUGACGGUACCGUAAGAGAGAGCCACGGCUAACUACGUG
rnacentral:rRNA from 1 species